GACGAACGCUGGCGGCGUGCCUAAUACAUGCAAGUAGAACGCUGAAGAGAGGAGCUUGCUCUUCUUGGAUGAGUUGCGAGCGGGUGAGUAACGCGUAGGUAACCUGCCUUGUAGCGGGGGAUAACUAUUGGAAACGAUAGCUAAUACCGCAUAACAAUGGAUGACACAUGUCAUUUAUUUGAAAGGGGCAAUUGCUCCACUACAAGAUGGACCUGCGUUGUAUUAGCUAGUAGGUGAGGUAAUGGCUCACCUAGGCGACGAUACAUAGCCGACCUGAGAGGGUGAUCGGCCACACUGGGACUGAGACACGGCCCAGACUCCUACGGGAGGCAGCAGUAGGGAAUCUUCGGCAAUGGGGGCAACCCUGACCGAGCAACGCCGCGUGAGUGAAGAAGGGUUUCGGAUCGUAAAGCUCUGUUGUAAGUCAAGAACGGGUGUGAGAGUGGAAAGUUCACACUGUGACGGUAGCUUACCAGAAAGGGACGGCUAACUACGUG
rnacentral:rRNA from 1 species